rnacentral:tRNA from 1 species
CAGUUCUGCAGUGCGUGCACAUUGAAUUGCAAAUUCAAAGACGUUACCGAGAGGUAGCCGGGACU